rnacentral:rRNA from 1 species
UGAACGCUGGCGGCGUGCCUAAUACAUGCAAAUCGAGCGAACGGACGCGAAGCUUGCUUCUCUGAUGUUAGCGGCGGACGGGUGAGUAACACGUGGAUAACCUACCUAUAAGACUGGGAUAACUUCGGGAAACCGGAGCUAAUACCGGAUAAUAUUUUGAACCGCAUGGUUCAAAAGUGAAAGACGGUCUUGCUGUCACUUAUAGAUGGAUCCGCGCUGCAUUAGCUAGUUGGUAAGGUAACGGCUUACCAAGGCAACGAUGCAUAGCCGACCUGAGAGGGUGAUCGGCCACACUGGAACUGAGACACGGUCCAGACUCCUACGGGAGGCAGCAGUAGGGAAUCUUCCGCAAUGGGCGAAAGCCUGACGGAGCAACGCCGCGUGAGUGAUGAAGGUCUUCGGAUCGUAAAACUCUGUUAUUAGGGAAGAACAUAUGUGUAAGUAACUGUGCACAUCUUGACGGUACCUAAUCAGAAAGCCACGGCUAACUACGUG